UGAGGAAUAUUGGGCAAUGCCCGCAAGGGUGACCCAGCAACGCCGCGUGGAGGAUGAAUGUCGUAAGAUUGUAAACUCCUGUUAGAGGGGAAGAAUAGUACCGGUUGGACCGGUAUAUGACUGUACCCUCAGAGAAAGCCCCGGCUAACUACGUGCCAGCAGCCGCGGUCAUACGUAGGGGGCAAGCGUUGUCCGGAUUUACUGGGUGUAAAGGGCGCGCAGGCGGGAUAAAAAGUCAGUGGUGAAAUCCUACAGCUUAACUGUAGAACUGCCUUUGAUACUUUUAUUCUUGAGUUCGGGAGAGGGAGACGGAAUUCCAGGUGUAGUGGUGAAAUACGUAGAUAUCUGGAAGAACACCAGUUGCGAAGGCGGUCUCUUGGUCCGACACUGACGCUGAGGCGCGAAAGCGUGGGGAGCAAAC
rnacentral:rRNA from 1 species